rnacentral:rRNA from 1 species
CGGACGGGUGAGUAAUGCUUGGGAAUCUGGCUUAUGGAGGGGGAUAACUACGGGAAACUGUAGCUAAUACCGCGUAAUAUCUUCGGAUUAAAGGGUGGGACUUUCGGGCCACCUGCCAUAAGAUGAGCCCAAGUGGGAUUAGGUAGUUGGUGGGGUAAAGGCCUACCAAGCCGACGAUCUCUAGCUGGUCUGAGAGGAUGACCAGCCACACUGGAACUGGGACACGGUCCAGACUCCUACGGGAGGCAGCAGUGGGGAAUAUUGCACAAUGGGGGGAACCCUGAUGCAGCCAUGCCGCGUGAAUGAAGAAGGCCUUCGGGUUGUAAAGUUCUUUCGGUGAUGAGGAAGGUGUUUGUUUUAAUAGAACAAGCAAUUGACGUUAGUCACAGAAGAAGCACCGGCUAACUCCGUGCCAGCAGCCGCGGUAAUACGGAGGGUGCGAGCGUUAAUCGGAAUGACUGGGCGUAAAGGGCACGCAGGCGGUGACUUAAGUGAGAUGUGAAAGCCCCGGGCUUAACCUGGGAAUUGCAUUUCAUACUGGGUCGCUAGAGUAUUUUAGGGAGGGGUAGAAUUCCACGUGUAGCGGUGAAAUGCGUAGAGAUGUGGAGGAAUACCGAAGGCGAAGGCAGCCCCUUGGGAAUAUACUGACGCUCAUGUGCGAAAGCGUGGGGAGCAAACAGGAUUAGAUACCCUGGUAGUCCACGCU